ACCAUGUCACUUUGAAACACCAGUCCUUGUGUGAUCACUGAAAUUAAGCAACAUCAAGUCUGGUCAGUACCUAGAUGGGUGACCGCUUGGGAAUACCAGGUGCUGUAAG